rnacentral:rRNA from 1 species
GGUGGGGUGAUGGCCUACCAAGGCGACGACGGGUAGCCGGCCUGAGAGGGUGAUCGGCCACAUUGGGACUGAGAUACGGCCCAGACUCCUACGGGAGGCAGCAGUGGGGAAUAUUGCACAAUGGGCGGAAGCCUGAUGCAGCGACGCCGCGUGAGGGAUGACGGCCUUCGGGUUGUAAACCUCUUUCAGCAGGGACGAAGCGUAAGUGACGGUACCUGCAGAAGAAGCACCGGCUAACUAUGUGCCAGCAGCCGCGGUAAUACGUAGGGUGCGAGCGUUGUCCGGAAUUACUGGGCGUAAAGAGCUCGUAGGCGGUUUGUCACGUCGUCUGUGAAAUCCUAGGGCUUAACCCUGGACGUGCAGGCGAUACGGGCUGACUUGAGUACUACAGGGGAGACUGGAAUUUCUGGUGUAGCGGUGGAAUGCACAGAUAUCAGGAAGAACACCGAUGGCGAAGGCAGGUCUCUGGGUAGUAACUGACGCUGAGGAGCGAAAGCAUGGGUAGCGAACAGGAUUAGAUACCCUGGUAGUCCAUGCCGUAAACGGUGGGCGCUAGGUGUGGGGUUCCUUCCACGGGCUCCGCGCCGUAGCUAACGCAUUAAG